rnacentral:rRNA from 1 species
UACAGAGGUCUCAAGCGUUGUUCGGAUUCAUUGGGCGUAAAGGGUGCGUAGGUGGCGCGCUAAGUCGGGUGUGAAAUCUCGGAGCUUAACUCCGAAAUUGCAUUCGAUACUGGCGUGCUUGAGGACUGGAGAGGAGACUGGAAUUCAUGGUGUAGCAGUGAAAUGCGUAGAGAUCAUGAGGAAGACCAGUGGCGAAGGCGGGUCUCUGGACAGUUCCUGACACUGAGGCACGAAGGCUAGGGGAGCAAACGGG